GAGUUUGAUCCUGGCUCAGAACGAACGCUGGCGGCACGCCUAACACAUGCAAGUCGAGCGCACCUUCGGGUGAGCGGCGGACGGGUUAGUAACGCGUGGGAACAUACCCUUUUCUACGGAAUAGCCUCGGGAAACUGAGAGUAAUACCGUAUACGCCCUUCGGGGGAAAGAUUUAUCGGUGAAGGAUUGGCCCGCGUCUGAUUAGAUAGUUGGUGGGGUAAUGGCCUACCAAGUCUACGAUCAGUAGCUGGUUUGAGAGGAUGAUCAGCAACACUGGGACUGAGACACGGCCCAGACUCCUACGGGAGGCAGCAGUGGGGAAUCUUAGACAAUGGGCGCAAGCCUGAUCUAGCGAUGCCGCGUGAGUGAUGAAGGUCUUAGGAUCGUAAAGCUCUUUCGCCAGGGAUGAUAAUGACAGUACCUGGUAAAGAAACCCCGGCUAACUCCGUGCCAGCAGCCGCGGUAAUAAGGGCGA
rnacentral:rRNA from 1 species